AGAAUAAGAAAAUUUUAACAGUGUACCUUUUGUAUCAGGGAAAUUUAAAAAUAUAGUAAAAAUAUAAUCGAUUUUAUCAUAUCUUUUUUAAUUGCUGGUAGUUGAAUUUAAUUGUUGUAGAAAUAAAGAGGUGAAAAGUGUACGGUGGUAAUGGUAUCUAAUUGUUUUUGGGUUUAAGGGUUAAGCUUUAAUAAUUUUAUGUUAAAGUCUAAUUAGGAAAACUAGGCUUUAAAUUAGCUAUGUUAAUAUAUUGUUUUAAAUAAUCUUAUAAUUACCUAUGUAUGUAAAAUUACUGACACUAUAGUUAUAAUUAUUAUUUAAUAAAAAUAAUGAAUUUAUUGAACAACAAAAGAAACUUAAAAAAAACUAAUAAUAAGUUGGAUAGUUUAUCAAAAACAUUUCUAUUUGUUAAAUAAAAGGUAAGGCCUGCCCGGUGUUAUUUAACGGCUGCGGUAUUUUGACUGUGCAAAGGUAGCAUAAUCAUUUGUUUCUUAAUUGGGAGCUGGAAUGAAAGGUUAAACUAUUUUGUUAAGUUUGUAAAGUUAAACCGAAGAUUUAAGUAAAGGUAAGAAUUCUUUUAUUUUCUAGGGGACGAUAAGACCCUAGAAGCUUAACAAAAAUAUUUAAUGUUAGUUAUAAACUAUAAUUUGUUUAACUGGGGCGGUAUUAGUGUAUAAACUACUGUAUAAUUGACGGGUCCUGUAUAUACAGAUAAAACGGAUAAGUUACUCUAGGGAUAACAGUACAAUAUAUUUGGAGAGAUCUUAUCGAUAAGGAUGUUUGUAACCUCGAUGUUGAAUUAAAAUGUCUAUGUAGAGCAAAAAACACAAAAGAAGGUUUGUUCAACC
rnacentral:rRNA from 1 species